GAUGAAGAACGUAGUGAAAUGCGAUACGUAAUGUGAAUUGCAGAUCUCUCAGUGAACCAUCGAAUCUUUGAACGCACAUUGCGCCCGCUAGUAUUCUGGCGGGCAUGCCUGUCCGAGCGUCAUUUCAACCCUCAAGCCCCCGGGCUUGGUGUUGGGGAUCGGCGAGCCUCCGCGCCCGCCGUCCCCUAAAUCUAGUGGCGGUCUCGCUGUAGCUUCCUCUGCGUAGUAGCACACCUCGCACUGGGAAACAGCGCGGCCACGCCGUUAAACCCCCAACUUCUGAACGUUUGACCUCGGAUCAGGUAGGAAUACCCGCUGAACUUAAGCAUAUCAAUAAGCGGAGGA
rnacentral:misc_RNA from 1 species